UUAUCUCAUAAACAAAUGCUUAUCAUUUCAUUUUCAUGCAUUUGAAUUGUUCCAGUCGAGAGAGUACACAACAACAUCAACAUGUAGACCAGAACAAUGCUUCCACGGAAUUGAUCAAUAGUGUGAUUGGCACUGAUGAGGAGGGUCGGUCUCGGCAACGGAUUCUUACAUUUGCUGCCAGGAGAUUCGAACUUUAGGAAUGCUAAGGUCCAAAUUUCAAUCAUUGCCUGCUGCUUUUAAUGCCUGUUUAAUUUCGGAGGAAAAGAGUGAGCCAACAAAAAAGAAAGGACUGCUGAAGUCCACUUUUUCUCAGAACUUUGCUCAGAUCCCAUCAAGCAAUGAAAAAGCAGCAGCAAGAUUUGCUCAGUUAUGGAACACAAUAAUCAACAGUUUUAGAGAGAGGAUCUUAUAAGUGAUAGGUAA